rnacentral:rRNA from 1 species
GACGAACGCUGGCGGCGUGCUUAACACAUGCAAGUCGAACGGAAAGGCCCUGCUUUUGUGGGGUGCUCGAGUGGCGAACGGGUGAGUAACACGUGAGUAACCUGCCCUUGACUUUGGGAUAACUUCAGGAAACUGGGGCUAAUACCGGAUAGGAGCUCCUGCUGCAUGGUGGGGGUUGGAAAGUUUCGGCGGUUGGGGAUGGACUCGCGGCUUAUCAGCUUGUUGGUGGGGUAGUGGUUUACCAAGGCUUUGACGGGUAGCCGGCCUGAGAGGGUGACCGGCCACAUUGGGACUGAGAUACGGCCCAGACUCCUACGGGAGGCAGCAGUGGGGAAUAUUGCACAAUGGGCGGAAGCCUGAUGCAGCAACGCCGCGUGCGGGAUGACGGCCUUCGGGCUGUAAACCGCUUACGCCUGUGACGAAGCGUGAGUGACGGUAAUGGGUAAAGAAGCACCGGCUAACUACGUG